CGUGGCACUGUCUCGCCCAGCGUCUAAGUUUUCUGGCGUUGGUGGUGUGUAUCGGUCGCUUUUAUAGCCGCUAAUUGGGAGAUUUGGUAGCCUCUAACGUGAUCUCCUGAAGGCCAAUGUCAUUGUUGUUUAAUCGUUUUGCCAAGUGCAGUGGAAAACAUGUACGGAAGAACACCUCCGAUGAGUGUACUCCCCGACCAAAGGUUCCUCUUCUUUCGGUUUGAUUGAAGAAAUUGCCUGCUUUUAUUUGUGGUUCCCACUGUGCCUUGAGGGGAAAUCAAUUCAAUUGAUUUGCAUUUAAUUGUUGUCUGUUUUUAGUGGCGUGGCUGUAAUUUUGGCUGACGGAAACAACGGCGGCUAACCCCAAAAGCAGUCCGAAGAGGAAGAACCCGUGGCCGCAUUUGGCCAUUGAAAGUGGAGCCGCUGCGAGAGCCAAGGGAAACGAAAGCCAACCAAGUCCAAGUCCAGUUCCAGCUCUUCUCCACUCUGCUAAGCAGCUUCAGCAAGUGCUAACAACCUGUCCGUCCAAUGCUGCCGCUUCGCGUCCAAGCGAUUUGAUUUCACUGACCUCAACUACAGCCGCCACUGGCCAACAAUGCAACUGCGAUGGACUGCAGAGCUGCAGACCUGCACCUUCUGACUCCGCUCGCCUGCCGACUAUUGAAUUAUUCAUUUGCUCAGACCAAAAUCCAACAAAAGAAGAAGGAAGAACAGCGACAAAAGUCCAUAAAAUGCUCUUGUGGCCAGCGACGAGGGAGAGCAGUAUCGGAAUGGCAAAUGGCAAACGGCAAACAGUGACAACUCGCCUAAUUACAACGAAUCUUUGGCUCUGCAAAGCACUCAAAGAGUGCUUGAACUAACACAAAACCCUGGCCCCGAGAGUGGUACUGGCCCCUGGUACUGGGGCUUAUGCAACGACACUCUGCAGUCUCCAGCCGGGGAUUUGCAUCAGCCAGCGUGGCGAGCUUUUGUUUCCAUGGAAUUUCUAAGCAACAAUAGAAAGGAUUUGGAGCGGAGUGAGCGAAGCGACCAUGGAAUUGAAGCAAUUACUUAGCAGUGCUCUGCGGCGCCCUGCUGAUGAUGAUGAUGCCACUCUCCUGGGGCAUAGAUCCAGGAUUUCUGGAGUAUAUAAGAAAGUGUGACAACCUAAAAUAUCCCUUAAGUGUAUCAUAUUGAAUGGACUACCAGCAGAAGCCUUUCUUAAUCGAUUCUUAAGUUUUGUUUUGAUGUAAAAUAUACCGAAUGGCCUGAUUCUUAGCGCAA